AGGACGAACGCUGGCGGCGUGCUUCACACAUGCAAGUCGAACGAGGCUCAUCCGGUGGCAACACUGGAGAAGGCCUAGUGGCGAACGGGUGAGUAACACGUGAGCAACCUGCCCCGAAGACCGGGAUAACACCGGGAAACCGAUGCUAAUACCGGAUGUCCCCACGCGCCUACAUGGGCGCAUGAGGAAAGGAUUCCGCUUCGGGAGGGGCUCGCGGCCUAUCAGCUCGUUGGUGGGGUAACGGCCUACCAAAGCGAUGACGGGUAGCUGGUCUGAGAGGACGAUCAGCCACACUGGGACUGAGACACGGCCCAGACUCCUACGGGAGGCAGCAGUGGGGAAUCUUGCGCAAUGGGCGAAAGCCUGACGCAGCAACGCCGCGUGGGGGAUGAAGGCCUUCGGGUUGUAAACCCCUUUCAAUAGGGACGAAACUGACGGUACCUACAGAAGAAGCCCCGGCCAACUACGUGCCAGCAGCCGCGGUGAUACGUAGGGGGCGAGCGUUGUCCGGAUUGAUUGGGCGUAAAGAGCUCGUAGGCGGCUCGGUAAGUCGGGUGUGAAACCUCCAGGCUCAACCUGGAGACGCCACUCGAUACUGUCGUGGCUAGAGUCCGGUAGGGGACCACGGAAUUCCUGGUGUAGCGGUGAAAUGCGCAGAUAUCACGGGGAACACCGGCGGCGAAAGCGGUGGUCUGGGCCGGCACUGACGCUGAGGAGCGAAAGCGUGGGGAGCGAACAGGAUUAGAUACCCUGGUAGUCCACGCCGUAAACGUUGGGCACUCGGUGUGGGGCCUCAUCGACGGGCUCCGUGCCGUAGCUAACGCACUAAGUGCCCGCCUGGGGAGUACGGCCGCAAGCUAA
rnacentral:rRNA from 1 species